GAUGAACGCUGGCGGCGUGCCUAAUACAUGCAAGUCGAGCGAACAGACGAGGAGCUUGCUCCUCUGACGUUAGCGGCGGACGGGUGAGUAACACGUGGAUAACCUACCUAUAAGACUGGGAUAACUUCGGGAAACCGGAGCUAAUACCGGAUAAUAUAUUGAACCGCAUGGUUCAAUAGUGAAAGACGGUCUUGCUGUCACUUAUAGAUGGAUCCGCGCCGCAUUAGCUAGUUGGUAAGGUAACGGCUUACCAAGGCAACGAUGCGUAGCCGACCUGAGAGGGGGGAUCGGCCCCCCGGGACCUGAGCCCCGGCCCAGCCCCCAACGGGAGGCACCGGUAGGGAAUCUUCCGCAAGGGGCGAAAGCCUGACGGAGCAACGCCGCGGGGGUGAUGAGGGUCUUCGGUUCGUAAAACUCUGUUAUUAGGGAAAAACAAAUGUGUAAGUAACUAUGCACGUCUUGCCGGAACCAAAUCAGAAGGCCCCGGCAACCUACUU
rnacentral:rRNA from 1 species